GAUGAACGCUGGCGGCGUGCCUAAUACAUGCAAGUCGAGCGAACAGACGAGGAUCUUGCUCCUCUGACGUUAGCGGCGGACGGGUGAGUAACACGUGGAUAACCUACCUAUAAGACUGGGAUAACUUCGGGAAACCGGAGCUAAUACCGGAUAAUAUAUUGAACCGCAUGGUUCAAUAGUGAAAGACGGUUUUGCUGUCACUUAUAGAUGGAUCCGCGCCGCAUUAGCUAGUUGGUAAGGUAACGGCUUACCAAGGCGACGAUGCGUAGCCGACCUGAGAGGGUGAUCGGCCACACUGGAACUGAGACACGGUCCAGACUACUACGGGAGGCAGCAGUAGGGUAUCUUCCGCAGUGGGCGAAAGCCUGACGGAGCAACGCCGAGUGAGUGAUGAAGGUCUUCGGAUCGUAAAACUCUGUUAUUAGGGAAGAACAAAUGUGUAAGUAACUAUGCACGUCUUGACGGUACCUAAUCAGAAAGCAACGGCUAACUACGUG
rnacentral:rRNA from 1 species